rnacentral:lncRNA from 1 species
GUCAUUAGUGUAUAAAGUACGAGCUUUUUACCAAACCAAAUAACAUGUCUGGAAUGGACGAAACAAGGGCAUCAACUUGGAAUCAAUAGAUCGCCACAGAAUACUGCAUAAUUGAGCAUCAAUCUUCUCCCAAUGUGCUUUGGCUUUUUCAUCUCCUUCACUAGACUUCUUGAUUAGAUGAUCUUGAACACCUUGACCUUUACACCACAACUCGACAGACGAAGCCCAAGCUAAGUAGUUGGAACCUCCCAUUAAAGGUUCUGAGG